rnacentral:ncRNA from 1 species
AUUUGUUUAACUGUGGCAAUAAGAAGUGUUGUUUCAUUUACUGCAUGAAAAUUGUUUGUUAUGAUUUGUGAUUAUGUUUUUUGGUUGUUUUUAUCAGCAGUUGGUUUUUUGUUAGGAUGUGAGUCUUAUAAGAAUGAUUCGAUUUAAGGGGAUAGGACACAGUGCCAGCAUCUGCGGUUAAUCUGUUUUCUUUGCUUUUGUGUGGAUUGUUAAUAUUUAUUUAUGUGCAAUGUUAGGUUAAAUUUUUUUUGUGUUAGUGUUGUGUAAAUAGAUUUUGUUAAGGAUAUAUGUUGUGACAGGGAUUAGAUACCCCAUUAAUGUAUUAUGUAAAGUUGUUCUAGUUUUAUAACUAAAAGGGUUUGGCAGUGAGUGAUUCUUGUUAGGGGAAUAUGCAUAGUAAAGGAUGGUCCACCUAAUAUUUUACUCUUGUUAUGUUGGUGUAUAUCUGGUUUGAUAUUAUUGUUGAAUGAUUUAAGUUUGUGUAGUUUUAGUUAAGCUAAGUCUAUGUGCUGCGUAUAAGAGUUUUUGUGUGUUACAUUUAUAAGAAUGUUAUUGAAAGAUGGUGUUGUAUUUAGGACUUAAUAGUAAUGUUAAAUGAGUUUGUUGAUGUGAAUAGAGUUUAGCUCAGGUACACACCGCCCGUCACCCUCGGUUUAUAUUGAGGUAAGUCGUAACAAGGUAACUUUAAAUGAAUUUGAAGUUAAUUAUUGGGUUAUCCAGUUAGA